CCUUUGGCCUUUCUCAAGGCCAAAAAAUUUCAUUCGCAAGAGUUUU
rfam:Aedes albopictus isolate Foshan contig217575, whole genome shotgun sequence.